AUGGACGAGCAGUUCAUCCUCCGCGUGUCCCCAUCCGUGGCGGAGCAGAUCGAGCGUCUUAUGAACGAAUCUGCCGCUGGCUCAUCCUCCAACCCCGACGACGCCUCCCUUGACCUCUCCUUCUCAGAGGAUGGAAGGAGUGGCACAUUUAUGAUUGGUAACCAGAGGUUUCCUGCAUCUCUCUUGGAUCUCCCAACCGUUGUGGAGUCAUAUAAGACAUAUGAUGAUUCCUUUUUAGUUAAAACUGCUGAUAUUGGUCAGAUGGUAAUGGUAAGAGAAGAAGAUGAUCCUGCUCCAGAAGGAGCUGAAUACGAGCAUGGACUUACUCCUCCAAUGAGGGAUGCACGCAGGCGACGUUUUCGCAGAGAGCCUGACUUGAAUGCAGAGCUUGUUCACCGAGUUGAGAAGGAUCUUAUAAGUAUUAUGCAAGGAGUGCCUGUCAACCAGAAUGCUAGUGUAGCUGGAGGCGGUGAAGGUGGUGAUCGCAAGAAAGCUGCACCAGCUCCUGCACCCAAGCCUGACGUUCAAGAGCCUGCUGCAAAUGGUGAAGAAGCUGAGGCUGAUCGGAGCGACUCUGACGAGUCAGACAGCUGA
rnacentral:rRNA from 1 species